UACGGGGGGAGCAAGCGUUGUUCGGAUUUACUGGGCGUAAAGGGCGCGUAGGCGGUAGCACAAGUCAGUUGUGAAAUCUCCGGGCUUAACUCGGAAAGGUCAACUGAUACUGUGCGACUAGAGUGUGGUAGGGGAGACUGGAAUUCCUGGUGUAGCGGUGAAAUGCGCAGAUAUCAGGAGGAACACCGAUGGCGAAGGCAGGUCUCUGGGCCACUACUGACGCUGAGAAGCGAAAGCGUGGGGAGCGAACAGG
rnacentral:rRNA from 1 species